rnacentral:rRNA from 1 species
AACGAUGUCGACUUGGAGGUUGUGCCCUUGAGGCGUGGCUUCCGGAGCUAACGCGUUAAGUCGACCGCCUGGGGAGUACGGCCGCAAGGUUAAAACUCAAAUGAAUUGACGGGGGCCCGCACAAGCGGUGGAGCAUGUGGUUUAAUUCGAUGCAACGCGAAGAACCUUACCUGGCCUUGACAUCCACGGAAUUCGGCAGAGAUGCCUUAGUGCCUUCGGGAACCGUGAGACAGGUGCUGCAUGGCUGUCGUCAGCUCGUGUUGUGAAAUGUUGGGUUAAGUCCCGCAACGAGCGCAACCCUUAUCCUUUGUUGCCAGCGAGUAAUGUCGGGAACUCAAAGGAGACUGCCGGUGACAAACCGGAGGAAGGUGGGGAUGACGUCAAGUCAUCAUGGCCCUUACGGCCAGGGCUACACACGUGCUACAAUGGCGCAUACAAAGAGAAGCGAACUCGCGAGAGCAAGCGGACCUCACAAAGUGCGUCGUAGUCCGGAUCGGAGUCUGCAACUCGACUCCGUGAAGUCGGAAUCGCUAGUAAUCGUAGAUCAGAAUGCUACGGUGAAUACGUUCCCGGGCCUUGUACACACCGCCCGUCACACCAUGGGAGUGGGUUGCAAAAGAAGUAGGUAGCUUAACCUUCGGGAGGGCGCUUACCACUUUGUGAUUCAUGACUGGGGUGAAGUCGUAACAAGGU